AUUGCCUCAGUAGCGGCGAGUGAAGCGGCAAAAGCUCAAAUUUGAAAUCUGGUACCUUUGGUGCCCGAGUUGUAAUUUGAAGAAGGUAUCUUUGGGUACGGCACUUGUCUAUGUUUCUUGGAACAGAACGUCACAGAGGGUGAGAAUCCCGUGCGAUGAGUUGUCCGUGUCCGUGUAAAGUUCCUUCGAAGAGUCGAGUUGUUUGGGAAUGCAGCUCUAAGUGGGUGGUAAAUUCCAUCUAAAGCUAAAUAUUGGCGAGAGACCGAUAGCGAACAAGUACAGUGAUGGAAAGAUGAAAAGAACUUUGAAAAGAGAGUGAAAAAGUACGUGAAAUUGUUGAAAGGGAAGGGUUUGAGAUCAGACUUGGUAUUUUGCAUGGCUCUCGGGUCCUCUGCAGUUUACUGGGCCAGCAUCGGUUUGUCUGGCGGGAUAAUUGCGCAGGAAUGUGGCACGGUUCGCCGUGUGUUAUAGCCUGUGUGGAUGCCNGGCGGGUAGACCGAGGACUGCGAUUUUUUUAAUCUAGGAUGCUGGCAUAAUGAUCCCAAACCGCCCGUCUUGAAACACGGACCAAGGAGUCUAACGUCUAUGCGAGUGUUUGGGUGUAAAACCCGUACGCGGAAUGAAAGUGAACGUAGGUGGGGGCCCGCAAGGGUGCACCAUCGACCGAUCCUGAUGUCUUCGGAUGGAUUUGAGUAAGAGCAUAGCUGUUGGGACCCGAAAGAUGGUGAACUAUGCCUGAAUAGGGUGAAGCCAGAGGAAACUCUGGUGGAGGCUCGUAGCGGUUCUGACGUGCA
rnacentral:rRNA from 1 species